rnacentral:rRNA from 1 species
UACGGAGGGGGCAAGCGUUGUUCGGAAUUACUGGGCGUACAGGGCGCGCAGGCGGCUGCUCAAGUCAGGCGUGAAAGGCCUGGGCUCAACCCGGGAAUUGCGCUUGAGACUGGGCUGGCUUGAGUGCGGGAGAGGAUGGUGGAAUUCCCAGUGUAGAGGUGAAAUUCGUAGAUAUUCGCAAGAACACCAGUGGCGAAGGCGGCUCACUGGCCCGGUACUGACGCUGAGGCACGAAAGCGUGGGGAGCAAACAGG